rnacentral:tRNA from 1 species
GGGGAUUUAGCUCAGCGGUAGAGCGCUUGCCUUGCGAGCGCAAGGCCCUGGGUUCGGUCCCCAGCUCCA